rnacentral:rRNA from 1 species
GACGAACGCUGGCGGCGUGCCUAACUCAUGCAAGUCGAGCGAAUGAAAUUCCUUCGGGAACGGAUUUAGCGGCGGACGGGUGAGUAACACGUGGGCAACCUGCCUCAUAGAGGGGAAUAGCCUUCCGAAAGGGAGAUUAAUAUCGCAUAAGAUUGUAGUACCGCAUGGUACAGCAAUUAAAGGAGCAAUCCGCUAUGAGAUGGGCCCGCGGCGCAUUAGCUAGUUGGUGGGGUAACGGCUCACCAAGGCGACGAUGCGUAGCCGACCUGAGAGGGUGAUCGGCCACAUUGGGACUGAGACACGGCCCAGACUCCUACGGGAGGCAGCAGUGGGGAAUAUUGCACAAUGGGGGAAACCCUGAUGCAGCAACGCCGCGUGAGUGAUGACGGCCUUCGGGUUGUAAAGCUCUGUCUUCAGGGACGAUAAUGACGGUACCUGAGGAGGAAGCCACGGCUAACUACGUGCCAGCCGCCGCCGUAACAC